rnacentral:rRNA from 1 species
AGUCGAGCGGUAGAGAGAAGCUUGCUUCUCUUGAGAGCGGCGGACGGGUGAGUAAUGCCUAGGAAUCUGCCUGGUAGUGGGGGAUAACGUUCGGAAACGGACGCUAAUACCGCAUACGUCCUACGGGAGAAAGCAGGGGACCUUCGGGCCUUGCGCUAUCAGAUGAGCCUAGGUCGGAUUAGCUAGUUGGUGAGGUAAUGGCUCACCAAGGCGACGAUCCGUAACUGGUCUGAGAGGAUGAUCAGUCACACUGGAACUGAGACACGGUCCAGACUCCUACGGGAGGCAGCAGUGGGGAAUAUUGGACAAUGGGCGAAAGCCUGAUCCAGCCAUGCCGCGUGUGUGAAGAAGGUCUUCGGAUUGUAAAGCACUUUAAGUUGGGAGGAAGGGUUGUAGAUUAAUACUCUGCAAUUUUGACGUUACCGACAGAAUAAGCACCGGCUAACUCUGUGCCAGCAGCCGCGGUAAUACAGAGGGUGCAAGCGUUAAUCGGAAUUACUGGGCGUAAAGCGCGCGUAGGUGGUUUGUUAAGUUGGAUGUGAAAUCCCCGGGCUCAACCUGGGAACUGCAUUCAAAACUGACUGACUAGAGUAUGGUAGAGGGUGGUGGAAUUUCCUGUGUAGCGGUGAAAUGCGUAGAUAUAGGAAGGAACACCAGUGGCGAAGGCGACCACCUGGACUAAUACUGACACUGAGGUGCGA